AGCGUAGGCGGACAUUUGAGUCAGGGGUGAAAUCCCGGGGCUCAACCUCGGAAUUGCCUUUGAUACUGGGUGUCUUGAGUAUGAGAGAGGUGUGUGGAACUCCGAGUGUAGAGGUGAAAUUCGUAGAUAUUCGGAAGAACACCAGUGGCGAAGGCGACACACUGGCUCAUUACUGACGCUGAGGCUCGAAAGCGUGGGGAGCAAACA
rnacentral:rRNA from 1 species